ACGGGAGGCAGCAGUGGGGGAUAUUGCACAAUGGGGGAAACCCUGAUGCAGCGACGCCGCGUGGAGGAAGAAGGUUUUCGGAUUGUAAACUCCUGUCGUUAGGGACGAUAAUGACGGUACCUAACAAGAAAGCACCGGCUAACUACGUGCCAGCAGCCGCGGUAAAACGUAGGGUGCAAGCGUUGUCCGGAAUUACUGGGUGUAAAGGGAGCGCAGGCGGGAAGACAAGUUGGAAGUGAAAACCAUGGGCUCAACCCAUGAAUUGCUUUCAAAACUGUUUUUCUUGAGUAGUGCAGAGGUAGAUGGAAUUCCCGGUGUAGCGGUGGAAUGCGUAGAUAUCGGGAGGAACACCAGUGGCGAAGGCGGUCUACUGGGCACCAACUGACGCUGAGGCUCGAAAGCAUGGGUAGCAAACAGGAUUAGAUACCCUGGUAGUCCAUGCCGUAAACGAUGAUUACUAGGUGUUGGGGGAUUGACCCCCUCAGUGCC
rnacentral:rRNA from 1 species